GGUUCGAUGGUGUAGUUGGUUUAUCACUUCUGUCUAACAGCGAACCUCCUGCGUUUCCUGGUGCACAGGCGGUCCUCAGUUCGAGCCUGGGUCGAAUCA